ACCCUUAAAUCGAAUAGGAGAAGCAGAGAAAAAAAGAAGGAAGUCGGGGAAGAAAGCUUUGGCCUUUGAGCAAUAAGAAAGAGAAGGGAAGAUGUGGUUAUCGGGGUUGGAAAGAACACCCUAAAGGGAGGGAAUGUCGGCGUCGGUGGGAGUGUGUUGGUUCGAUGCAUGUCGAGGAGUAGGGCAGUGAAUGUGAGAAAUAUUAACCCAAAGAUACCCAUUCAAGAAGCUAAAUCCCUCGCCGGUUCACUUUACGACCUCCUCGAGUAACGUGGCCCUCUCACCAUUCCCAACACUUGGACCGCCGCUCAGGAAGCCGGUAUUGAUGGAUUGAACAGCAAGCCACGUAUGAAGAUAAUGCUCAAAUGGAUGAGGGGAAGAAAGUUGUUAAAAUUGUUUUGCAACUGAGUCAGGUCGAACAAGAAAUUUUUGCACUGUACGCUGCUUGAAGAACCUCGGACGGACCAAUUAGAGAUAGUUCCGGAGCUUGAACUUCAUACCAAGAAGCCUUCUGCUAAGAGAAACAAGAAAAUUAAGAAAUAAUUUAUCCUGGUUCUUAGAUUGCAAUCAACUUCACCUGCAAUAUCUUUUUCAUUUCAUUAGAAUCUUUUGAACACAAAUGUGGUGAGUUUUUAUCUGAUCUGAUGAACUGAAAGUUGAUGAUAUGCAUGUUUACCUGG